rnacentral:rRNA from 1 species
GAUGAACGCUAGCUACAGGCUUAACACAUGCAAGUCGAGGGGCAGCAUGUCGGUUGCUUGCAACCGACGAUGGCGACCGGCGCACGGGUGAGUAACGCGUAUCCAACCUACCCUUGUCCAUCGGAUAACCCGUCGAAAGGCGGCCUAACACGAUAUGCGGUUCUCAGCAGGCAUCUAACGAGAACGAAAUGUGAAGGAGAAGGAUGGGGAUGCGUCUGAUUAGCUUGUUGGCGGGGUAACGGCCCACCAAGGCGACGAUCAGUAGGGGUUAUGAGAGGAAGGUCCCCCCACAUUGGAACUGAGACACGGUCCAAACUCCUACGGGAGGCAGCAGUGAGGAAUAUUGGUCAAUGGGCGAGAGCCUGAACCAGCCGAGUAGCGUGCAGGACGACGGCCCUAUGGGUUGUAAACUGCUUUUAUAAGGGAAUAAAGUGAGUCUCGUGAGACUUUUUGCAUGUACCUUAUGAAUAAGGACCGGCUAAUUCCGUG